rnacentral:rRNA from 1 species
AUUGACCUCGGAUCAGGCA